UCACUUACAAGUGUACGUACAGUUUGUCUCAACAUGUGCCGGUCCAAAUGACAUACUGGAAUGUACUGGAAGACAUUACUCUAGCUGCUAUAUAAUAACUCUCAAGACUUGACGUGACCCCUCACUGUGUAAAGUUUCAAGUGUGUUGAUUGGUAUUUCAGCUGCAAUCAGUUAGGCAAGUGAACUGAUUUAGAAAGCCACAGACAGUGCAACUAACAUGUAAACGGGUUGGUUGAUGGAAAUAUCUCAGACUAACAGAGAGUGUUACAAAUCAAUUUGCUAUUCUAUUCUUGGUUUGAUAUCAGUGCAUGUCCACCUAUUACAGGUCUAUUUUUUUGUAAUAGACUUGUCUGUCUGUAUGUUUGUUUGUCUAUCUGUCUGUAUGUAUGUUUGUUUGUCUGUCAGUCUAUCUGUCUGUCUGUUUGUCUGUCUGUCUGUCUGCCUGUUUACUAUAAGCUUUAUGAUGAUUUAAACUAAAUAACUCUAAAAACUGCAAGGACCCUUAGGCCCUACACAUACAAUGAUUUAAUAAUUUGCAGCUGUAGUGUUCAUUCUGUGAAUGCUAUAUAACUUGUCUGCUGUAACUUUAGCAAGAUUUCUCUGCAGUUGAAUGGAGAUGAGGGAUCUCCAGUUGGUCUUGAAUUGGGCCUUGUUUUCUUUUUCUCAUCAUCUCUUGACAACUCGGCCAGCUCGU